rnacentral:lncRNA from 1 species
ACAGUUUCUGGUCGUCUGCGAACCCCGUGACGCACUGCGUCGAUUAUCAUAUUGUGUAAAUCGAUGCGACGCAUUGAUUUUGCACUGGUUCACUAUUUUGGGUUCAUUCUGAAUCCAAUUAUGUGUUGCACUCUCCUUGAAUCCUUCUCACGUGCCCACACUUUCCCAAUACUUUUCAGGUAUCCAAAUUGGCGACAAGCUGUAUUUUGUGCUUCCGUGAUCC